GCAUCAUUAUAAAUACAUACAGUGAACUGUUCACAAACAGCAUAAUAUUCAAGCAUUUUUUGUUAUAAGACUUUACAAAUAUUUUCUGCUAAAACUGUUUAUUUCUUCUCUGUGAAAGAUUUGUAGACAGCAAGCGCAGGUGAAGUUUACUGAAAUAGUGAUUUAUUGCAAUUAUUUAUCUUGCUUUCAAAUAUAUUUGUGUGGAUAUAUGUGUGGAGAACACACGGGAUUUUAUGAAAGAAUGGAGAAAUAAUCCAAUGGUUUAUUUGUUUCUAUAUAAAAAAAAUCUCUGCACAAGUUUUGGAGGUAGGGAAAACAAAACCCAACAACAACAGAACUUUUGUGUUCUCCAGGAGCAUCUUGAAGUGUUGGUCCUGAUUUACUGCACCUCUUAAGAACCUACAGCGGGGAAGGCCAAAUGGGAUUGCCAUGGAGUACUGCUUCAGCAUUGUUCAGGACACCAAACUGACUAUUAAAGAAAGAAGAAAAAGCAUGAGAAACAGAGAAAAAGGACUUGGAUUAUAUUUCGCAGCAUUUGCCAAUAUCUAACAGACUUUUGGAAAAGUUGCGUAACACAACCUGCCAGGAGAGCCCUGUUUGAACAGAGACAUUGCCAUGAAGGAAGUGCAGAAUAAUACAGACAAGCAAAAGGACAAGAGACAGUGGACCUGUGCAGGGUGUGCAAAACUCAUGAAUAAACUGUUAUUAAAGAGAGAAAAACCAAAUAAACAACCACCACCACCAACAAAAACCCAAGCAAAAAAAACCCAAUAAAACACAUUUCAAAGAGGAAUCUAACUGCAGAGACAGCAGGUAUUCAGUCAACCACAGCCAAGGCAUUCUUCCAGUCUGGUGGGCUGUCUAAUGGUUUGUUGUUAGAGGAAGGGAUGUAAAACAGGUACUAACACAUUUUUCUGCACUUUUUGCUGCAAGGAGGAUAAAUUGUACAUUAAAAUGAGAUUCUUUUAAUAAAACAGAAUCCUGCUGAAAUUGAGAUGAUGUUUACAUGGAGUGGGAUUGCACUUCAGAAGUUAAGUUCUGUUACUUCUUUUUCUGUUUCUGCUGAUUGUGCUUAUGAGAUGUCAUCUAGUGGAUUCAGUUGAGUCUGCUUUAAAAGGCUUUAAAAACUAGUAUUGUGAAAAGGUGCUGUAAAGCACAGAAUUGUGUAUGAAGGGAUGCAUAAUGAUCUCUGAAUUUACUUCAGACACAGGAACAAAGGAUCAUGAACUUAAAGAGAUUGUAGCAAAACCAGAGGAAAUCUCCUUCUGAUAAAGCACAGAAAUUUGUUACAGAAAGAUCUCUUAUGUCUCCUCCCCACUGCUAAGGUUGUGUUGCCUUUGACAGCAGAUUUUUUCCAGUCUUGUCUUAAUUGCUUUGGGCAGUGGUGCUUCUGUUGUUCUCUCUAGGAAAUUCUUCUAGCUUUAAGAAGCCUAAAAAAAUUACCAUCACGUAAUGAGCUGAAACAUCUGAAAUGCUUUGCAGCUGGACAUAAUAUACACUUCUGAAUUUAAUUUAGACAACAUUAAAGUAAGGCAAAGACCAACUAGAUGAGAUAGGGAAGACUGUUCGGGGCAAAAAAUGGAGACCCACGUGCAUCUUACUAGUGCUAUAAAUGUCUUCUCUUGAAAUAACGGAGAACAGUGAAAUGCAUGUCUCUGACUGGAUGCAUAAGCUGUUCUCCACCACUAACAUUUUGUGCGCCAUUGCUUGCACUGUUAAUUAACUGCUUGGGUAGUUCUGUAACUCUCCUGCACAGUAAUUGUAGUCUCUGGAAUAUUUUAUUUUAGUUUGGCCAAUAUUAACUUAGCUUUCUGUGGAGACAGAUGUAGUUCAAAGAGCAAUCAUUCAUGCAUUUGUAAUGUCUGUUUUCUGUGCAAGAUGACCUUGCAUACCUUCACUGGAAAUAUAGCUAUACUCACAAGCAGCAGCAAAUUCAUGUCAAGUAGCAACGUAUCAGUUAGUGGAUUCACCCUGCUUUCUGAACACAUUGGAUGAGUUUGUAAUGUUGUCUUCUGACAUGCAAUUUACACCCUACGUUCCUAUCUCCAGGCCAUGGUGCAUGAAGAUACAUGAAUGAAUUUUCCCUCCACCUUCCUCAAGGCCUUAUGUGCCUUGUGAAAGAUUCUGACACGUAUUGAUUACAAGAGAAAACUUAA